rnacentral:rRNA from 1 species
GACGAACGCUGGCGGCGUGCUUAACACAUGCCAGUCGAACGGAAAGGCCCUGCUUUUGUGGGGUGCUCGAGUGGCGAACGGGUGAGUAACACGUGAGUAACCUGCCCUUGACUUUGGGAUAACUUCAGGAAACUGGGGCUAAUACCGGAUAGGAGCUCCUGCUGCAUGGUGGGGGUUGGAAAGUUUCGGCGGUUGGGGAUGGACUCGCGGCUUAUCAGCUUGUUGGUGGGGUAGUGGCUUACCAAGGCUUUGACGGGUAGCCGGCCUGAGAGGGUGACCGGCCGCAUUGGGACUGAGAUACGGCCCAGACUGCUACGGGAGGCAGCAGUGGGGAAUAUUGCACAAUGGGCGGAAGCCUGAUGCAGCAACGCCGCGUGCGGGAUGACGGCCUUCGGGUUGUAGACCGCUUUCGCCUGUGACGAAGCGUGAGUGACGGUAAUGGGUAAAGAAGCACCGGCUAACUACGUG